GAUCCUGGCUCAGGAUGAACGCUAGCUACAGGCUUAACACAUGCAAGUCGAGGGGCAGCAUGGUCUUAGCUUGCUAAGGCCGAUGGCGACCGGCGCACGGGUGAGUAACGCGUAUCCAACCUGCCUUACACUCUUGGACAGCCUUCUGAAAGGGAGAUUAAUACAAGAUGUUAUCAUGAGUAAGCAAUUUUCGCAUGAUUAAGGUUUACCGGUGUAGAUGGGGAUGCGUUUCC
rnacentral:rRNA from 1 species